rnacentral:rRNA from 1 species
CAGUCGCCGCGGUAAUACGGAGGGUGCAAGCGUUAAUCGGAAUUACUGGGCGUAAAGCGCACGCAGGCGGUCUGACAAGUCAGAUGUGAAAUCCCCGGGCUUAACCUGGGAACUGCAUUUGAAACUGUCAGACUGGAGUCUUGUAGAGGGGGGUAGAAUUCCAGGUGUAGCGGUGAAAUGCGUAGAGAUCUGGAGGAAUACCGGUGGCGAAGGCGGCCCCCUGGACAAAGACUGACGCUCAGGUGCGAAAGCGUGGGGAGCAAACGGGAUUAGAUACCCCUGUAGUCCCUGUCUCUUAUAC